rnacentral:rRNA from 1 species
GACGAACGCUGGCGGCGCGCCUAACACAUGCAAGUCGAACGAGCGAGCGAGAGCUUGCUUUCUUGAGCGAGUGGCGAACGGGUGAGUAACGCGUGAGGAACCUGCCUCAAAGAGGGGGGCAACAGUUGGAAACGACUGCUAAUACCGCAUAAGCCCACGACCCGGCAUCGGGUUGAGGGAAAAGGAGCAAUCCGCUUUGAGAUGGCCUCGCGUCCGAUUAGCUAGUUGGUGAGGUAACGGCCCACCAAGGCGACGAUCGGUAGCCGGACUGAGAGGUUGAACGGCCACAUUGGGACUGAGACACGGCCCAGACUCCUACGGGAGGCAGCAGUGGGGAAUAUUGCACAAUGGGGGAAACCCUGAUGCAGCGACGCCGCGUGGAGGAAGAAGGUCUUCGGAUUGUAAACUCCUGUUGUUGAGGAAGAUAAUGACGGUACUCAACAAGGAAGUGACGGCUAACUACGUG